rnacentral:rRNA from 1 species
UGCAAGUCGAGGGGUAACAUUGUGCUUGCACAGAUGACGACCGGCGCACGGGUGCGUAACGCGUAUAGAACCUACCUUUUACAGAGGAAUAGCCUUUAGAAAUGAAGAUUAAUGCCUCAUAGUAUUGUAGACUGGCAUCAGUUUAUAAUUAAAGAUUUAUCGGUAAAAGAUGGCUAUGCGUCCUAUUAGUUAGUUGGUAAGGUAACGGCUUACCAAGACAGCGAUAGGUAGGGGUCCUGAGAGGGAGAUCCCCCACACUGGUACUGAGACACGGACCAGACUCCUACGGGAGGCAGCAGUGAGGAAUAUUGGACAAUGGAGGAGACUCUGAUCCAGCCAUGCCGCGUGUAGGAAGAAUGCCCUAUGGGUUGUAAACUACUUUUAUACAGGAAGAAACACUGGUAUGUAUACCAGCUUGACGGUACUGUAAGAAUAAGG